rnacentral:rRNA from 1 species
GACGAACGCUGGCGGCGUGCUUAACACAUGCAAGUCGAGCGGAGCGGCGAACGGGUGAGUAACGCGUGAGUAACUGCCCCCCUCCCUGGGAUAACAGUUGGAAACGGCUGCCAAUACCGGAUAGUGGGGGAUGACUCGCGGCCUAUGAGCUUGUUGGUGGGGUAGUGGCCUACCAAGGCGACGACGGGUAGCCGGCCUGGGAGGGCGACCGGCCCCAAUGGGCUGAGAUAGGGCGCAAAGUGCUACGGGGGGCAGGAGUGGGGAAUAUUGCACAAUGGGGGAAACCCUGAUGAAGCAACGCCGGGUGCGGGAUGACGGCCUUCGGGUUGUAAACCGCUUACAGCCAAGACGCGGUAAUGGCAGAAGAAGCACCGGCUAACUACGUGCCAGCAGCCGCGGUAAUAC